ACAUAAAUAGGUGAAGGUUUAACAGAAAAACCAAUAAAACCAAUAACAAACAUAAUACUAAGAAUAUAAACAAUAUUUAAAAUCAUUAUUCUCACAUGGAAUUUAACCAUGACUAAUGAUAUGAAAAACAACCGUUGUAAUUCAACUCUAAGAACAUAUUAAUGACCAAUAUCCGAAAAUCACACCCCUUGAUCAAAAUUAUCAACCACUUAUUCAUCGACUUACCAGCCCCCUCGAAUAUCUCAGCAUGAUGAAACUUCGGCUCCUUAAUUACGUGUAUGCUUAAUAUUACAAAUCAUCACAGGAUUAUUUUUAGCAAUACACUACACAGCUGAUACAACCACAGCAUUCUCAUCAGUCACCCACAUCUGCCGAGACGUAAACUACAGAUGACUAAUCCAUUAUCUCCAUGCUCACGGAGCAUCUAUAUUCUUCAUUUUCCUUUACCUUCACAUUGGACGAGGUAUUUACUAUGGGUCUUUCACCUUCAUAGAAACCUGAAACAUUGGAGUACUAUUACUAUUCACAGUUAUAGCUACAGCUUUCAUAGGUUACGUCUUACCAUGAGGACAAAUAUCCUUCUGAGGAGCGACAGUUAUUACAAACCUUUUAUCAGCAAUCCCCUACAUCGGACCUAACCUAGUAGAAUGAAUUUGAGGUGGCUUCUCAGUUCACAAAGCCACACUAACUCGAUUUUUUGCCUUUCAUUUUAUUUUACCUUUUAUUAUCACAGCAAUAGUAAUAAUCCAUUUACUAUUUCUUCACAAAACAGGGUCUAACAACCCAUCAGGACUAAACUCAGAUUCAGACAAAAUUCCAUUCCACCCUUAUUACACAAUUAAAGAUAUUCUAGGAUUUUUAUUUAUAAUACUUACACUAAUAUCUCUUGUUUUAUUCACACCAGACCUUCUAGGAGACCCAGACAACUAUACCCCUGCUAAUCCCUUAAAUACCCCUCCCCACAUUAAACCAGAAUGGUAUUUCCUAUUCGCAUAUGCUAUUUUACGCUCAAUCCCUAAUAAAUUAGGAGGAGUUCUAGCCCUAGUAUUCUCCAUUUUAAUCCUAAUACUAUUCCCUGUGCUCCAUUUAUCCAAACAACGCAGCAUAUCAUUCCGCUCUCUCAGACAAUGUCUCAUG